rnacentral:lncRNA from 1 species
GUGGAUUUACUAGGAAGGUGGGACGUUGGAGGGGUGGCCGCAUGGAGUGAGUACUGUCUCUGGCCACCGAGCAGAGCCAGUGACAGCAGCGUCCUGGUAGGCAGGCAGGCGUAUCAGGUUUCAGAGGAUGCGGCUGGGAACGGGAGUAGAGGUGAGGGGUCGUUGCAUCUGUCGCGGUGUGUAUCUUUUGGGGGUUCAGCGCCACCAGCGACUUGGGCCUCAUUCAUCGCGCUUACAUUUCUCCACCUCAUUUGAAGAACGAGCUUCGUAGCCCACGGAGCUGAGGUAUAUGAGCUCCCUGAAAGCACAAAGCAGUUAUUUCCAUCUUCAGAUCAUUCAGAGAUUAUGAAGGCACAAACCCUGCCUUCAAUUUGCUUAUAGUCAAGUGGAGCAGACACAAGUCAAUGAUUGCAGUAUAGCCACUGAAGUAAUCUAAAAGAGGUGGGGAGGCCACAGCUUAUGUGAAUGACUUUCUCAGGAGUUAUAAAGUGAUACAGACUUAUCAGCAGGUUGCAGGUGAACAUGGCCUUGAGAUGUUUUCUUCUAAAUAAAUGAGAAAGAUGUUUCAACAAAGGCUCUUUAUGCUGAAUAAUUGUGAUGCUUGAAGUUGCUAAUCUGCUUUAAGUGGAUUUUAAAUGUCAGGCAAUUCUAGACAGUUUUUUCUUGGUCAAAUAAAAAUUUAAUUAAAACUUUAAAAAAAAAAA